CCAGCUGCUAGCUAACCUAUGCUCACAUUUCGAGAGUGUGUUCAGGCCUUUUCCUUUACUGCUUUGUUCACACAGCUUAAACAAAAGUGUUAUUUCUUCUAGGCAGGCUGUCUUUAUCUGCUUGGUGUUUGCCACCGGUCAGAAGAGAAGAAAAGCUGUGCUGCUGUUCUGUUGGACCAUGGAAAGGGCACAGCUAGCACGUGGGCAAUGAGGCUCUGCCCUGUCCAUGCAGCAGGCAACAAAAAUGGUCACUAUUCCCAGCUUUUAUUCUUCAAAUUCUAAUUUGUGGAGAGCAGAGCAAUAUCUGAAUCAUCUCUUAAUGAAAAGCAUCAGUUUUGCACAAGGACAGCAGAGAUUAUUUACAAGGAAAGCGGGUCUGCUGGUUAGUGAUGGCUGUCAUCAUUGAGUGCCCCAGAAUUUGUAUGUUAAACAAAGUGCCACUCAUGGAUGGGCAAAAGUAGCAACCUCCAGCUUCACAAAAUCUCUGCCUGCUUUCUCCAGCUGUGCUGAAAACCCUUUUCCCAUUUAAGCUAGUACUUGAACCGGUGUUCACUAGUAGAGAAGAGCUCAUUUGGAGGUAACACAUAUUCUUUCUAACAGAUUUGCCAGCUUAAUUUUCAGAAAUACUGUGCUUUCCUGGUUUCUUCUGAUGAUAAUGUGGGCUGCAUUUGUUCUGAUGCUGAGAGAACUGAAAUGCCCUGAAUAAAAGCACCUGUGCUGAAUGACA
rnacentral:lncRNA from 1 species